AGGUUAAUUAUAAUAGAAAAAAAUCUUUAAUCUUCCACUUUAGUAUCAAUGUUUCUGGUAGAAAAUUAUUUGAUCCAUAGUAGGUGCAUUUGAAGUUUUUCAGUUUUCGAUUUCAGCGAUUUUUUUUCUGUGCCUUAUUCAGAAAUUAAUAACUGUAAACUUGAAAUUUAACAUAAAGCCCAUACUUUUUUUUUAAGCCUUUGAAGUUCAAAUUUUUAACACGUUAAAUAUCCGGAAUAUGAAAUUAAUUAUUAAUAUAUAAUAAUAUUUGAAAGAUUUUCAAAACGACUGUGUUAAUCAAAUUGAUUUCAAAAUCACUAAAUUAUAUACAGUUUUAUUGGAAAAUAUGUGUAAUAUAUAGGUCUAGGGACUUCUAGAGUCUUCUUUGCAUGGUUGUUAAUAAUCAUUAAAAGUAGCUAUAGGUAAUAUAGAAAUUUGUUUCAUAGCAAUAUGAGUUAAUAUAUUUAAAAUUUUUAGUUGCAUAUAUAUAUUGCAUAAUAGACCAUUUUUCAUUUAUAAGAGCAUAUUUGUAUUUUUUUUUUAUAUCAAGGUUUAAGUUUUAUAGUUAUGUAAAAAAAACUUAAUUUUAAAUAGAUUAUCUGGAUCUGAGAUAUUGGUAUGCUGCUUUUAUUAAUAUAAAAUAAAUAUUUUAAAAUUAGUGUUUGAUUUCCUUGCCAAUCCCUUGCAUUAUUGCUUAUUGCCUAUUGGUACCUACAUCACACGCAUGAUUCCCUCAAACUCGAUGUAAGAGGACAACAAAUCAGAAAAGAAAAUUAAUCUAACGCAAUUUUUUUAUUAUAAAUGUAUAAAGUUUAUAAAAUUUAUAAUUUUGUAAAUAUUAUCUAGAUAUUAAAAUAAAAAAGUUUUAUCCAAUACUAUGAAAUUUUUUUUUAAAUGCAUAUUUAGUGUUUCUUCUAAUCAUAAACGCAUUUAUAUUUUAAAGUUUUUUAGGGCAUGAAAUCCCUAGCCUUAAAUUAAUAGGUACCUGUAUUAAUAUCUUCAAUAUAAUAUACGAUGGUGUAUAAAUAUUAAAUAUAGUACAAUUAUAUAGAAUAAUAAAUAAUUAUUGCUUUGCACGGGAUUAGGUACCUGCUAGUGUUAACAUUAAAUACACAAUACAGUAUAUAUACCAGCUCUAAAGAAUAUACAAUGAAUUAUUAAUUAUAGUAUUUUUAAAAAAAUAAAAAAGAUAUUUUUUCAAUAACAAGACGAAAGGGUAAAAAAACAACGUCUCAGAUAAAUUUUUUUUUCUACUUUGCCUUUACAGUAAAUUUCUCUGAUGUUUCUGCGUGAAUUAAUUUUUUUUCAACAAUACCUUCCACUUAAUCGAACUUUUUUAAAAUCAAAAAGCCGUAUUAUUAAAAUGUUUGCCAUUAUCAUCAAGUACACCGCACACGCCAUCAGACCAGCACCAACCUAAUGUAAUGUCUAUAUUUUAAAUGUAUUAAAUUUUUUUUAAAUAUGGCUGCUAAGCGUAAUGCGUAUAAUAUAAUAAAUGUAAUAAGCUACACUAUUAUUAAACACGCAUGACCUAUCAAUAAUGUCGUAGUAAUAGGUUCAGAAUGCUUAAACGGAAAGAUUUAUAUUAUAACUUAUUUAUUCAAUUUUACGCAAUAAAUAUAGAUAUAGGUAUGUAUACAGUAUAGUUACAUACUUACAUAUACAUGAUACUUAAAACUAUAAUUUUUAAAUCAUCAAUACCGGACAACAUAUUUUGAGUACCGACCAAUAGGUCCAUUUCAAUGGCCCCUCCACUUUCGAAAUUUGAACUUCUGACCACGCCAAACGUUUGUGCAUCGUUUGUGCAGAAAUGUGCACUAAGUCCAAUCGUUUGUGCACAAAAACUGAAAGCUCUAUCCCUAAAACUAAAUGGGGGGGGCAUUGAAACAGUAGCCCCCCCCCGCAUUGAAUAUUUGGAUUUUUGAAUGUGCCAAACGUUUGUGCAUCGUUUGUGCAGAAAUGUGCACCAGGUCCCGACGUUUGUGCACAAAAACUCCCAGCGCUAUCCAAAAAACAAAGUGAGGGGUAUUAACAGGAGGGUCUCCCUCUUUUGAAAUUUUAAAUAUUUAUCAUAUUAAUAAAUGUUGUUUACGUACCUAAUAGGUUUAAUAGAAUUUUACUAUUGCCAUGUAAACGUAUGACAAAUAAAAUCUUCAAAUAUUUUUAAUUUAUCAAGAAAGCAUUAUCUUGUUCUAAUGUUUUUGAUUUCAAAAUUGUAUGAAUAAAUACAGUUUUUUCUUUAUGCAUUUCUUUACUUUAUAUUUUAUAUUAUAUUUUGCUGAUGAAAAUGUGUUUAUGGACAGGUACCUCAACUCGACGUUGCUGUAUGUCCGGUCCAAUAAUAACAAUGGCGUAUCAGACGUCGCUCCCAAACCGGUCGACAUCCAUCUGCAUAACUCAUUCCGCAAGAAUGAGCGGUAUAGUUUGAAAACUUACCAAAGUUAUCUGGUGGAUGUCGAUACGUUGGUGAGCAGCCGUCGCACAUAGGUCUGAUGUACCUAUGGAAAGUUAUUAUUGGAUCAGUCAUAAUAUUACGUUGAGAAGUUAUCUGUCCAUAAGCUUAUUUUCAGAUUUGUAGGCCAAUUUCGUUGCCAUUUUUUAAUCAUUCUUUGUUUUUAUUAAGGUUGAGGUGUAACAGCAUUUUAGGGACUAUUGUAAUUCCCACUUCCAGGACUUUAUCAUACAUACAGCCGACAGCCCGAUGACCUACAUUUUUGUGUAUUCUGGUCUACCCUAUGAUGGCCGCGAAGUAACGAUCACGUCACCGUUUAUCAGAUUGCCCAGUUUGAAAGAGUCUCCAAAAAUUUCAUCGGAUAGGUACGCCAUAAACCGUGGCAAAGCGCUGGGCCAGCAUAAUUUUGUCCGGAUCAAUAUCUACAAAAAUGACGUCCCAAUUAUUAGAAGCUAAUAAUAUAGUGUCUUUGUCGAACAGUCAGCUGUACGAAGUUUCCGCUGUGCCACAAAACGGGUCGACGCCGGUCGCUGAACAUUGGAAGUCCUCAAGUCCACCAAGCAUCGUAUUGAUGAAUCAACAAUACAUCUUACAUCUUACAUCUUACAUCUAUCAUUGCAAUCUUAUAAUUAUUCACCUGAAUGCAUGUAAUCCUGAAUGUACAGUUAAUUUAUUACUACCCAUCUACAAAGUCAACACUGUAUUAAUAAAAGUAUUUAUUGUUAAAAUAAAAUUGAGUUCUAUAUUAUUUGUAGGUACUUAAAAA